CUAAUUUAUCAAUUUCAUCUCCCACUUUCACUCCUAAAUUCUCUCUCUCUCAUCCAAAUUUCUAACAUAAACAGCGCAAUUAGGGUUCUUAGUCAUCGGUGGGAUUUAGCUUUCUUGGUGUAGAGGAGUAAGUUAAAUACCCAAUAGAUUCACAAAGUAGCAGAAUCGUGAGGUCCCAACUUCAGAAUCGUGGGGUCCCAACAUAAACAAUGCUUAGGGUUCUUAUGUUGUGAUUCAAAUUCAUUUUCUGCCAUCAACAUUCUCUUGAAAUGAUCGAUUCCUUGAGCGUGUUCAUUCAAUUAGUUUCUCAGUUAGCAUCAAUUGCGAGAAAUUAUUAUCGCAAAAGGCACACUGUGAGAAAUUGCUAGCUAUCUGUUGUCCAGGACAAGGCUAAUGGCUGACAAAUUCAAUCGAGUGGAUUUUGUUGCUGAGGUGAGUCACCGCAUUGUUGGUGGAGGCCACCAUUUCAGCUCUAUUUAAUUUAUCUUAUUUAUUUUUAUUUUUGGUGUUUGCACGUCCAGCAGUAAAAUACAUGUAACUCUAUUAGAUGAUCCAUGAUCGUAGUAUGGUAUUUGGGAUACAAUCUAUAACAUUUGGAUUUAUUA